rnacentral:lncRNA from 1 species
ACCAGCCCUCAGCAUCCUGCAGCAGCAGCAAAGCUGGGGCUUGCUCUCCCCUUUUUUAGGGGCCGGGAGACUGGAGAGGAGCCACCCUCCCCUCUCCCCCCUAACAACGGCAGGGCCGGUGACUCACUCGGGCCAGGCGGCUCCCUGCCAGCGGCCGCCGGCGCCACCCAGGGGCCGCGUCCCUCCCCCGAGCCCGCCCCAGCGGCCCUCGCCGGGCUCGAGACCCCCGCGGGGGGCGGGCGCGCGAGCCGGGCACGAGCCCCACGUCACGAAGGGCCACGAGCCCAGACCGGGGAAGGGGGAGGGGGGUGUGCACGAGGCGGGCACGGGUCCGAGCCCCGCCCGGCGGGAGGGGACGGUCGUCAGCAGCUGCGGCGGGUCGCGCGCGGGCGGAGGCCGGCCCCCCCUUCCCCUCCCCCCGGGCCCGGCGUUCUCCCCGCCCCCCUGAACCCCGCGGGGGGCUCGGCGCCGGCUCCGCGCCCCGCGGGGAAUGCCGUGGUGGGCGGGCGGGCGGGCGGAUGGCUCCUCCCCUCGCGGCGGCGGCGGCGCAGGCAGCCAGGUCCCCCCCCUCUUCCGCCCCCUCCCCACUCACCGCGGCCUCCCGGCUCCACAUCCGCAGGGCAGGGCAGGGCGGGGGGAAACGGGCUGCGGCCGCAGGCAGCGGCCGUUGGCAGGAGGGGCGCUACGUGCCACCGCCCGGCGGCGCGCGCGGGCCCCGCCCACCAGCCCCACGCGGUCUCUCGCGUCCUCCCAUUGGCUGAAGUAGGGGGCUUCCCCCCUCUCCCCCUUGCCGCGGUGCUACGUCGAGGCGUCGUCCGUUGGCCUGCGCCCGGGGUCGCUGGUGAUGGCGGUCGCCUGCCCGGCCCUGGCCCUGCCCGUCUGUCUGCCCUGCUCUUCCCGCCCGCCUGGCGCCUGUGCUUCAGCAAAACCCCUUUUGCCUCUGUGUUGUCCCAACACUUUCAUUGGCCCUCUCUCAGGGACUGUGAAAUCUCGCUUUGCCCUCCUUUGUGGCACCUUUCCCUUCCUGUGGUGCUGUUAGGCCAAAUUUUAUUCUGGAGCCCAAUCCUAAAAACUCUGCCCUGCAGCAAGAUUAUUCACAGUAAUAAAUGCUGGGCUAGUUCUAUCAUUGUCUACAGCCAAAAGAGGACAUUUCCUGCAUUGCAAUAUCAAGAUACUCAUGCUAAUAUAAUUCAUUUUCAACAUGUUCAUUUGUGUGAGAAAAAAAAAGUGUGA